rnacentral:misc_RNA from 1 species
UCUUCGCCCCCAGAGGCUUUCACUUAGCCACCGUCAACUGCCUCCCUACGCACUCCACGUCACUCUCCACUGCGUUCCCGCGCACGGACCUCAUCCCGUGCACGAACACCCCUCUGCAGCGCCGCUGCUCUCGUGAGCGCCGCUUCUCGUGUCUUUGGUCACUCUUCUCUGUCGUGCGCGUUCAGCCCGUCGAGAGCGCCCGCUCGCACGCACACAUACAGUUACGGACCCAUUCGCCCCUCCCUCCCCCUCUCCACGUCCCUACCCAACGAAGCAGCAUGAACGUGUACACGUCAGACGGGCUGCUGGUGAGCAGGGGUGCCGACAGCGGCGGUCUCUCGACGGAACAGGGCCAACAGCUCAUCUCCAUCUAUCGACUCUUCCUUCAGCUGCACCACGCCGGCACCGGCGCCAUGCGCAUCAAGGACAUGAUCAAGCCGGAGACGACAGACGCGGUUAGCGAACACGGCAGCGGAGGAGCCGGUGGAGACAAGAACGCCGACCGCCGAGGUGGCGGCGCUGGUCGUGGCGGAUCUGGCGCAGUAAACGCCACCUGGAGCGCCAUAAUGCCGUCCAUGCCGGAGAACACGGCGUACACGAGCAGCAUCGCCGUCGUCUCCACCGGUACCCCUUACCCGAUGUUCCUCCUCUCGUCCAACGCCAUCCCAGAGACCCAUCGACUGCGUGGGUUCGCCUCUGCAGUGGCGCCACAGCAGCAGCACCAUGCGGCAGCGGCUGGCACGGCGACCACCGCCUCCACAAAGAACAAUAACCGUAGCGCCAAUGGAUGUGAGGAGAUCGCGCUGCGGUGGAGUCUGCUCACAAAGCAGCCCCCGUCCUGCCCCACAGCGGCGGCGGCGGCGGGCUCUGCUGUCGGUGCUGCUACCGGGGCUUCCGCAGGCACACCGGCCUCCAUGACCGCAACGGUUAACGCCACCAAGGCCACCGUGAUGACCGCAGAAACAGCCGCGGAUGUGCCCGUGGACCGGACGGGCUUUCCUGGGGCGCGUAAUUUCUCGAUGUCCAGCACAAAGUCUGCUGGCCACCUGCCUGGUGCGUCGCAAAGGGAUCGCAUGGCUGGCGAGUGGAGCAACGCUGGCAAUGUGGCGCCCGCGGCAACCUCGCCGGCGCGCACCGCAGCUCUCGCACCGUGCGCGUACCCGUCUGGGUGGACCGCGGCGGAGCUGCAGGUACACACGACGAAGCAGAUGAUGGUGUGCACCGCCACCGAGCUGUCCCUCGACUUGGACGGAGGCGCCGAGGACGGUAACGCACCGCUGCUGUUCUGCUGCUCAACGCUGCCCAUCUCGGGCUAGCCACCGAGCAGCAGGAGCGCGUAUGCGUGUGCGUACGCCUCAGCGUAUAAGUCACCGAGACCGGGCGCAUGCCCAAGCAUGAGCGCGCUCCCACGCCCUUCCCCCCACUGAGCGCUCGUGGGACCGCUAUGGCGCGUCUUGCCGCUGCUGUUGCGUUGCAAGAAGUGCGUCGCCGCUGUCUUGCGUCUCUGUCUGUCUCUCUCCCUCACAUCUCGCCACCCGUGCGUGCCUGUGUGUGCGCAUGCGCGUGUCGGCGUUGGAGUCUUGUGUAGUGCCUCGGGAUGCGUGCUAUCCCUUUGCCCCCCCCCACCCUCUCCGCCCUCCCGUCUGUGUGCCAUGGCGUUGUUCUUAUUCUUCAUGCUUGACUGUGCGGGUCAUUGUAUCCCCACCCCCCCCUCCCAAAAAAA